CCUAAAGCUGUCCAACUAAGUUCUUGAGAAUGAUUGAUGGAAUGAAGUUGGAAGAAAGUUAGAAAUUUGGAGAAGGAUCUCAAGAGGAUUUCGAGGGAACUCCCGGCGAAGCGUCUUAGAGCUAAUUUCUCAAACUUUGACUUUUGAUACUUGGAUCUCAAGAGGACUUCGAGGGAACUCCCGGCGAAGCGUCUUAGAGCUAAUUUCUCAAACUUUGACUUUUGAU